rnacentral:tRNA from 1 species
AGGAGAAUGGCAUAGUGGUUUGAGUGUUGGACUAUGACUCUGAAGACCAGGGUUCAAUUCCCCGCUUGGCAG